CACCGCCCCCUGCCGAAUCCGGUCCGCCCCGACGGGCCCCGGAGCCGGGGACCCACCGCGCACCACCGGGGUGAAUCGGUCCUGGACCGUAGGGCGGCCUUCCGAAGCCCGAACCCGACAGCUAACCCGGCAGGCGGUCCACGGAAGGAGUU
rnacentral:sRNA from 2 species